GUGUGCUGAACUGUGGCUGUAUUAUGCUUCCUACAUCGUGUGCAUACAUGUGUAUGUGCUCACGAUGUUGGGGCAAAAUACAGGCGGAGUUUGGCACGAC